rnacentral:lncRNA from 1 species
CCGCCUGUCUCGCGCGCCCUCGGCCUUCCUGCGCCUGUCUCUCCUGCUCCUCCCCGGCCUUCAGUCUCUGUCACCGUGCCCGGGACAGGACAGGACGAGGCCAGGCUGUGAGCCUCAGGCCCACCUGCUGCAGCUAAACCCACGGAAGGUUCCCACCGGAUGAGUCCAGGGCCACACCUGCGGCAUGUGGAGAUUGCCACCCUAGAGAUGGAAUCAAAGCCGCAGCUGCCGGCCUACGCCCCAGCCACAGCACUGGAUCCAAGCCGCGCCUGCGAGCUACACUGCAGCUUGUGAAGGCCCACAAGCCGCCGGGUGAAACCAGGAAUAGAACCUGCACCUCGUGGCUACGAGUCGAAUGUUUAACCCACUGAGCCACAAUGGGAACUCUGGCUGUGCUGUUUUAAGCCAUGGCUACAAAUCUUUGACUUUCCUUCCAAUGAACGGCAAAGACUCUCUGCACAUCUGGGGGGCUUGUGACGGGUUUGCCAGCCCCAGUGGAGCAGCCCAAAGUGACAGACAGAACCCCGGGUCUAGGUCAUAAAGGACCUGCAGCUCCGCCCAGGAUGCUGCCCGAAGCCCUGAGCGAGGGCACAGGCAGACAGGCCCAGGGAGAGCCAGCUACUCGGGUCACCCCAGCUGCACACAGGGGUUAGGAAGCCCCAGCCGUUCUCAUCUGUGACCCUCCCCUGAACCCCAGACAUGACCUGAGUGAUGAUUCUCCCAGGGCAGAGUGUCCCAGAACCCAGCAGGGCUGCAGGAGAAGCCGACGUGCUCCCUGUAGAGGAAGCCAGCUGGGGGAGGCCGCAGGACCCCUCAAACUCAUUGAUCGGUCACCCCAGAAGUGACACCACCACACCCUGCCCGAACUCUCAUCCCCAGAAAUGAGGGCCAUGAGGCGGCUGUAUGACGCCUCCAAGUGCUGGAGGAGGAGGUGGGACAGCUGCCCAGGGCCCCUCUCCAGGCACUGGGCCACAGGCUCGGCUCCAGGUACAGAUCCAGGCACAUCCUGCCUGGGGUGGCCGCCACAACCCAGCCCAUGAGAAUCACUGGGGGCGCCCCUCCCCACGCCCCCCCAGGCCCUAGGCUGCACCAGACAGCAUCGACACCCAGACUCCAAAGGACACAGUGACACUGCGGCCUAGACCCAAGACGCAGUCCACCCACCAUUCCCCAGAGCCUGGUGGAGGCCUGAUGGGUCCUCCGGCCCAAAGGUUUGCAGGAAGCUCGGUGCAGACAGUGCGGGCAGGACCCUGACGCCAGCUGGGGCGGAUGUUACGCGCAGGUCAGGCGUCGUUACCAGGUCUUCUGUUACAUCCUUGAAUGGGGCAAACAGACUGAACUAAGAAGAAUGGAAACUUCCACACAAACAAAAAAGCAAAAUAGGAAAAAAUGCACGUAAACAGAAAAAAAAAAAA